AUCAGAGUGGCCUAGCGGAAAAAGCACGGGCCUAGGAGUCAGAGGACCUGGGUUCUAAUCCCAGCUCUGCCA
rfam:Ornithorhynchus anatinus chromosome X3, whole genome shotgun sequence.